UCUGUUGACCCCUGUAGAUGUGCUCAAUGAAAAUCUGCAGCAGAUCACCCCUUGUACGCCUGUUGUUGAUUUAUAUCACAAUUCAAGAACAAAUGCCAAAACACACGUCAUUUGUAGCAAGGAUGAUUGCCGCUGGAGUAUUCAUGCUCAUGGUUGUGACCAUGUUUGCAAUAACUUACUUCAUUCUCAGAAAAAGACGUGAGGCUUUGGUCAGACACGGCGUGGACACUGAUACAGGUGGUCCAUUGAUGAGUGAUUGAAAGAGACAAGAUGAUCUUGGAGUUAGUUUGAGGCUACAUAAUUCAUUACAAUAAAGGAAUAUCGCCCAGGA